GAUGAACGCUGGCGGCGUGCCUAAUACAUGCAAGUCGAGCGAACAGAUAAGGAGCUUGCUCCUUUGAAGUUAGCGGCGGACGGGUGAGUAACACGUGGGUAACCUACCUAUAAGACUGGGAUAACUUCGGGAAACCGGAGCUAAUACCGGAUAACAUUUAGAACCGCAUGGUUCUAAAGUGAAAGAUGGUUUUGCUAUCACUUAUAGAUGGACCCGCGCCGUAUUAGCUAGUUUGUAAGGUAACGGCUUACCAAGGCGACGAUACGUAGCCGACCUGAGAGGGUGAUCGGCCACACUGGAACUGAGACACGGUCCAGGCUCCUACGGGAGGCAGCAGUAGGGAAUCUUCCGCAAUGGGCGAAAGCCUGACGGAGCAACGCCGCGUGAGUGAUGAAGGGUUUCGGCUCGUAAAACUCUGUUAUUAGGGAAGAACAAAUGUGUAAGUAACUGUGCACAUCUUGACGGUACCUAAUCAGAAAGCCACGGCUAACUACGUGCCAGCCGCCGCAGUAAAAC
rnacentral:rRNA from 1 species